rnacentral:lncRNA from 1 species
AGGGUGCGUCACCGGAGCAGAUGCCCGGGGCGGUUGGAGGCUCCCGGGCUCCCGCUGACUCAUCAGAAAGGCCUGCCGCGCGGCCCGGGGGGCGGGGGAACGUGGGGGACCGCGGGGAGCUGCCGGGCAGGCGGCAGCCGAGGUCGUUUGAGGCGCGCAGAGCCUCCGGAAAACCCCACGGAGACGGCUGCGCGGGGGCGGGGCGAUCGGCACUGACCAGGUCACCUGCAGCGCGGGCUGACGGCGGGCGACUGAAGGAGGGAGUAAGUCUCCCACCCCCAGCAGCCGGUGGCCGCUUCCGAAGCCUGCCCCCUUCCACUGCCGAGCGGCGCCCCGCGGGUCCUCAGCCAGCGCGCCCGAAGCGCCCCCGCCCCGUGUCGCUCGCGCUGCGUUAUGGGGAGAAGGCGGUUCCUGAGCACCAGCGCGGGCCUUGGUGACACCGGAGGUCGCUGGGGUCUUCCCCCUCCCCUUAAGACUCUGGGUCUGUCUGUGGGAAGAGCUUUCAUUCCCCACCUCACUCUACGCCGACCCUCUCCGGGGGAGGCUCCACUGGCACUGUAGACACCACGUGCUGGGUAAAAAGGCCUGGUCCCAGCGCUUUCCUGUCACUGACUGCUAACCCCAAGGAGCCGUGGCACUCAGGAAAUGCGGCAGGGGGCUGGAGAACUAUCAGGAAGGGGUGUGGGCAGAGAAGAGGCUUCCACCCUGUCUUGGAACACCGACACAGUCCAUGGCAUUCACAAGAGGUGGGAGGCUCCUCUGUGCACGGUGCCUUCUGCCCCCGGUACAGGUGGAGGAGGGGAUUUGACUGGUCCUCACCCUCUCUGCAUUUAUAGUCUGGGCACACCUUGGGCAGUGCGGCAGGAGGGCGCUGUGGAGUACAGGCACAUGCAGAAGCUGUGGCGAGGGCUUCCUGGUGGAGCUGGCAGUAGGGCAGGGACCUUGAAGGGGAAUGAUUUGAACAGAUCGGAAAAGACAUUCCAGACAGAAACAAAUGCCUGAAACCCAAACCGAGAAGCAGGAAAGAGCAGAUUGCGUUCUGGGAAUGGCAGGGAGUGCAGUUUGACUGGAAGACCUGAGGCUCAGAGGCGCAUCACGGCCCAGAUGCAGACCACAGAGGCAGGCACAGUGGCGCAGGAGGAUCGAGGACCUGGAGUCACGGGGUUCCGCCCGCUGCCCCUGGGGAACCGAGUCAUGCCAGUUCCCAGACAGAUGAAUUCCUUCCAAUAAUUCCACAGUCCUGCUCAGUCCCAGCCGCCAAGCCUCCUGGCCUUGGAUGGCUGCUGUCUAAUGCAGAUGCUCUUUCGUCCAGAUUUCAAAUAUUUUUCCUAUUCUGUCCUUUGAUCACUAACAUUUAUGUUUAUCUACAUCAGCAUCCCUCAAUCCUGACAGCACUCUGGAAUUAUCUAGGGGUGCUUUAAAAAACAAAAAUGUUGAUGCAUGGCCCUCCUCCAGGAAAUCUGAUUUUAUUGGUCUGGGGCGGGGCCCAGGCAUCAGCAGACUUUUAAUGAGCAGUUAGAGAGGAGAACCACUGAUGGAGAUGGUCACCAGGGAGUGUCCAGGUCAGACUGCCACAGAAGAGCGCAGCCUCCUGGCCUUCAGACCCAACUGGGACAAACCCCGAGAACAGCCUUGGCAGACCUCCAGGGGCAGCUGGACUCCCUGAGGCUGGAUGUUGCAGCCUCUCCCAGGCAUCCACUCUGCAGCUGAGGCCAAAGUUUCCAACGGGAAGGGAGGGAGAGUCUCCGAGUCUGGGCCUUGCCACUCCUCACUCAGCAUCUGACCAUCCCCACCUCCUGGAUCUACAGGGUUCAUAGAGGAGGACCCAGAAGAGGGAAAGUCAGGCUGAGGAACAUGGCCUCCCUGCUGCAAGGGAAAUGACAUCGGUUACCAAGGAGGUGACCUGCUAUCCUUUUCCAAGACUGAAAAGCAGAAAUAUGGCCUGAGCCUAGAGGGUCUAAGAGAACAAUAGGAAGAAUUUCCUGACAAAGGACAAUGUUGCCUAAAGGACCCAUGAAGCUCCGUGAAAAUAGGAGACUCCUGAGCACCAGACCCUUCUCCACCAGGCAGUGUUUUUCCCAUAUGACAGGUGAGAAAACUGAGGCUGAGAGACAUGUAAUAACUUGCUGAAGCAGUAACCAGCACGCCAUAUAGCUGAAAUCUGUAGAUCAGCAGUUAAAAGUGGCAGGGCAAGUCCUCUCUGACUUUCAGCUCUAAGAGCCUAGGAUUGUGUGUUUUUCUGCUUAAGCCUGGGAAUCAGAGUCCUACAAAAGCCGCGCCUAAUCCUGGGGGUGUGGGCUUUAAGCCUAGAGAGAAAGCAUGUUAUUGGAAUACUCAUGCACUUUUCUCCCUUUGAAUCCCACCACGGAAAGAAAAUUCUGUGACGUGUACCCAGUAUUUAUUGAAGGGUAUUUCCUAGCAAGAAAAUGAGGACGACUGGCCAGGCACGGUGGCUCACGCCUGUAAUCCCAGCAUUUUGGGAGGCCCAGGCAGGCAGAUCACCUGAGGUCAGGAGUUCGAGACCAGCCUGACCAACAUAGAGAAACCCCGUCUCUACUAAAAAUACAAAAUUAGCUGGGCGUGGGAUGGCGCAUGCCUGUAAUUCCAGCUACUCCUGAGGCUGAGGCAGGAGAAUCGCUUGAACCCGGGAGACAGAGGUUGCAGUGAGCUGAGAUCAAGCCAUCGCACUCCAGCCUGGGCAAGAGUGAGACUCUGUCAAAAAAACAAAGAAAAUGUGGUACAUAUAUACUAUUGGAGUACUAUUUACCCGUC